rnacentral:lncRNA from 1 species
UAAUCCCCAGCUUUCAGACUCUAUCAACAAGCCCGAUUUUAAGCAAGCUGAUGCAAUGGCACUAUGCAAUGGCAUCAUUGUUAUCAAAGCGCUCAACUCAAGUGGUAACCUAACACAAGAUAGCGAAGGUAAUGAACAAAUUUGGAAUUGCCAACUCAAUUGAUUGCAUUGUAAUGUUACAUAAUACAGAAAGUUUGAAAUUGAAACCUGGUAGUACAUCAACUCAAUUUACUAAAAGAAAUGUCGAUUGUCGAUAUAACAAACCUUGAAGUACGUCGAUGAGAAGAAGAAGAAGAAACUUGAGGCUUGCAGGUUGACUUGGGGAAAGAUGAUGAAUCAGGUGAAAGAGGAACGGAGCGCUUGGUGGUGAAUUUGGGAGAUAGAGAUUGGAGACGAGUGCAGAUCCUAGAUACAGCUCUG